rnacentral:rRNA from 1 species
GACGAACCGUGCGAACGUUGUUCGGAAUCACUGGGCUUAAAGGGCGCGUAGGCGGGCCACCAAGUCCGGGGUGAAAUCCUCCCGCUUAACGGGAGAACGGCCUCGGAUACUGAGGGCCUGGAGGCAGGUAGGGGCGUGCGGAACUCUGGGUGGAGCGGUGAAAUGCGUUGAUAUCCAGAGGAACUCCGGUGGCGAAGGCGGCACGCUGGACCUGAUCUGACGCUGAGGCACGAAAGCGUGGGGAGCAAACAGG